UACGUAGGGUCCGAGCGUUGUCCGGAAUUACUGGGCGUAAAGAGCUCGUAGGCGGUCUGUCACGUCGGCUGUGAAAACCCGAGGCUCAACCUCGGGCCUGCAGUCGAUACGGGCAAACUAGAGUGUUGCAAGGGAGACUGGAAUUCCUGGUGUAGCGGUGAAAUGCGCAGAUAUCAGGAGGAACACCGGUGGCGAAGGCGGGUCUCUGGGCAACAACUGACGCUGAGGAGCGAAAGCGUGGGGAGCGAACAGG
rnacentral:rRNA from 1 species